rnacentral:tRNA from 1 species
GGGCCUGUAGCCUAGCCUGGAUAGGGCGCCAGCCUUCUAAGCUGGAUACCGUGGGUUCGAAUAUCUUACAGGGAGACUACAAAUCUUCCUGAAGAUUUGAAAGUCCCUCCAGGCCCA